rnacentral:rRNA from 1 species
CGGCGAAUCGUGUUGCGGGCGGCGGGGGAAUAGGGAGGGUGCGAUGUGUAAUCGGGAUUACUGGGGGUAAAGCGUGCGUAGGGUGGUUCUUAAGGCCGGUGGGAAAGCCCUGGGCUCAACCGGGGAACUGCGAUGGAUACUGGGGAGCUCGAGUGCGGUAGAGGAGGGUGGAAUUCCCGGUGUAGCGGUGAAAUGCGUAGAGAUCGGGAGGAACAUCAGUGGCGAAGGCGGCCCUCUGGACCAGCACUGACGCUGAGGCACGAAAGCGUGGGGAGCAAACAGGAUUAAACCCGGGUAGUC